GCUGCUUUCUGACUGCAAUGCCAUGAAUUGUUUCUCUUCUGCGAUGCCUCUCUCCCAUGCCACCCUGUCGUAGAGCUAGCUGACUACGGACUGAAACCUCUACAAAGGGCCUAGAAGCAACAGAGUCCAGUAACAAUGGACUGAAGUCAUGAGCCAAAAGAAACCAUUGCUCCUCUAUGCCGAUCUUCUCAUAUAUUUGGAAACAACAACAAAGAAGCUGACUAAUACAACGUCAGAGUUCCAAAAAUGCCAUUUCAUAAAUGAUGCAUGAAUACUGGGCAGACACCUGGCCUGGAUGGAGAGGGAAGAGAUGAAAAAAGGAGAUCCCCUGUGCAACAUCCGAGAGAGAAGAGCUCUCUUCAUGGUACACUGAUAAAUCUCCCCAGACUCAGGCUGUGACACAGGCUGGCACCACCAAUUUCUGCUUAUGCCAUUAUGGCUUUUUAAGUUACUCACCAAAGUUCAUCAUCAAGCCUUCAGGGGGAGUGAUCUAGAUAGAGCCUCCUUUUUAUGCACUUUUAUUUUAGUAACUUGAAAAUAAAUUAAAUUCAGGGUUUUUCAUUUGCAUCCGGCAUUGAUUUUGAUAAAGUAGCUUAAAUUAGCAGAAGAAUCACACACCUGUGCCAAAUUUUCAUAUCAACCUCCUCAAGGCUCUGAGUCAGGCAAGAAUUCACAUCCCCAAAUGAUCUCUUGUUUCAUUAUGCACAUUGAUA